CCAGUUCGUCGAGGGCGGCGUAGAGGCCCUCAAACGGCUUGGAAGCGUCCGCGAUGUGCUCCCUGUAAUAGGCAAUGAAGUCGACGGUCAGCCGGUCGAUGUCCGCCACGCUCAUGGCGCGCCCCUCGAGUUCGAGCCCGCGCUCGAUCAGCUUCCGCGCACCGGCGCCGAUCAUGGUGCGAGCGGAUGCAACCGGCACGAGUGGCAGCCCUUCGCGCUGGAGGACGAAGUUCAGCGCGCCGACGAGAUCGGGGGCUGUAUCGACGAGAGUGCCGUCGAGAUCGAAGACAAUAAGGGGGGAGGAGGUCAUGGCGGAUCGCUAGCGGGCGAAGCCG
rnacentral:misc_RNA from 1 species